GAUGAACGCUGGCGGCGUGCUUAACACAUGCAAGUCGAACGAAGCACUUUAACCUGAUUCUUCGGAUGAAGGUUUUUGUGACUGAGUGGCGGAUGGGUGAGUAACGCGUGGGUAACCUGCCUCAUACAGGGGGAUAACAGUUAGAAAUGACUGCUAAUACCGCAUAAGACCACGGAGCCGCAUGGCUCAGUGGGAAAAACUCCGGUGGUAUGAGAUGGACCCGCGUCUGAUUAGGUAGUUGGUGGGGUAACGGCCUACCAAGCCAACGAUCAGUAGCCGACCUGAGAGGGUGACCGGCCACAUUGGGACUGAGACACGGCCCAAACUCCUACGGGAGGCAGCAGUGGGGAAUAUUGCACAAUGGGGGAAACCCUGAUGCAGCGACGCCGCGUGAGCGAAGAAGUAUUUCGGUAUGUAAAGCUCUAUCAGCAGGGAAGAAAAUGACGG
rnacentral:rRNA from 1 species